rnacentral:rRNA from 1 species
UACGGAGGGAGCAAGCGUUAUCCGGAAUCACUGGGUUUAAAGGGUGCGUAGGUGGCAUCGUAAGUCAGAAGUGAAAGUUUGCGGCUUAAACGUAAAAUUGCUUUUGAUACUGCAAUGCUUGAAUCAGGUUGAGGUUGGCGGAAUGUGGCAUGUAGAGGAGAAAUGCUUAGAUAUGCCAUAGAACACCGAUUGCGAAGGCAGCUGACUGGACCUGUAUUGACGCUGAGGCACGAAAGCGUGGGGAGCGAACAGG